rnacentral:lncRNA from 1 species
ACUACAAAAAAAUUGACAUAUCGUGACAUGCAAAAUGUGUCACUAAAAGUUAUAAACCGUAGGUAAAGGUCAAUAAUACUUUGAGUGACACCCAGAUUUAGUGUCAACUUUAAGGGGGCGUCCUGCUACACUUUGAGGACUGUCACUACAUGCUCUGAGGAGUGUCACAAUAUGUUUUUUUAUUUCUACCUACAAUAAUGACUGUCACUAAAACGUAGGAAAACAUAAAUCAAAAUUUAGUCUAUUGCUACAGUAUUGUCUGUCACUAAAACCUAUUAUUAUUUAUUAAAUUAUUAGUCUAGAAUAGAUCCCAGGCAGGAGAACAUAAAACAGAAGGAAAAGAAUUAGGAUCCAAAUUGGCUUGAAUCUUGAAUUUGAAAGGGCAAGCAAUAUCAGAGGCAGUAGGCACAUCCCUAUUCCUUUGCUCAAGUGUGACAGAAUUGAGCAUUGAUCCUUCAUUAGUCAGAGCAUCAUGAAACUCCCAGUCGUGGGAGAUGGCAUGGCCUAAAAAACCACAUAAAAAACAACUAUUUAAAUAAAAAAAAUCAAUCUUUUUUUCUUCUGCAUAAGUAAUGCUCUUGAUUGGGCAUUUAAAGCCUGUUUAUACAAAAGUAAGAAAAAAAAGGCACAAUAAAUGAGCAAGAAACUCAUAACAAGGAACAGGGCUGACUGAAUGAUAUAAUAUAUUGCAAAAAUAUAAAAAGGGGGGUAGGAAAAGACAUCAUGGCAGCUCUUAAAUACAAAUACCCGGCCCAAGUUAACAAGGGGCAAAAUUUGCGGUUUCUUAGGGAAAUAAAAUAAAAUCUUCAGAUCAUGAAAUACGUAAUGUGGGAAGCACCAUGUUUAACCUAAGUUUAGCGAAUCUACAAAAAAUCAACACCGAAAACAUCCAAAACAAACAUAUUAAAAAUACAAGUAGCUCACCAAUCAUCUACAGAAACAAUAUUUUAUCCCACCCUAUGGUUGAACAUACAUGUAACAUGAUUAAUAAAAAGUUAAAAACAUUCUUCUCUGUAACUAGGUAAUAACUUUCCUAUAAAUAAGCUGAUAUCAAACUUCAAAUUAUGAAUAAAAAUAUCAAAUUCAGACCACCUCAGAUGGUGAUGCAGAAGAGAAUACGGUAUAAAAGAAAUUAGAACCUUAACGGUAACAUACCAAACAUAAAAACCUUCCACUUAGAAAAAAAUGUUCAUUCAAUUUGAUCUUACCAUAGACAGUGGCUUCUUCUUAAGUACAUAGUGUGAACAACCUUACUUCAGUAACCAAAAAAGGUUGACAUUUUUUCAAAUACAACACACAC